rnacentral:lncRNA from 1 species
UUUAACGUAAAUCUUACGUUAAUGGCAAAAGGUCGUAAUUCUAAAGCUUAAAUUAUAAUCAACUCGCUCUGGAGGAGAGUGCAUCCCACACUCAGCCAAAAGUGGGUUUGGCAUGAUAUUCAUGUUCAUUUUUUGCUUUUUGGCUAACCGCACGAUAUUCAUGUUCCAUGGUGAGCUUUUUAAUAAUCCGCAAUUAAUUUAUUUUUUUCUUUUUAACUAAAUAGUACCUUUUUUUUCUUUCAGUUUUUCUAUUUCAUUUUUAGAAGAAAUAAUAUUUUAUUAAAGACAAUUAAGUCGAUUCUAAAAUAUGACAUUCGACACUUCUCUGUAUAAAGCCAAAUGUACUAACCAAAGUGUAACUGUAUUGCAGUGUGAAAAAUAUGGGCGAAACCAUCCCUGAAGACCUCUUGCAACCGAUGUAUGACUAACAUACAUAUUAUCUUUUUAACUUUCC